rnacentral:rRNA from 1 species
UGGGGCAUUUUCCGCAAUGGGGGGAACCCUGACGGAGCAACGCCGCGUGCGGGAGGACGGCCUGUGGGUUGUAAACCGCUUUUCUCUGUGAAGAAGCUCUGACGGUAGCAGAGGAAUCAGCAUCGGCUAACUCCGCGCCAGCAGCCGCGGUAAUACAGAGGGGGCAAGCGUUGUCCGGACUUACUGGGCGUAAAGCGCACGCAGGUGGUAAGGCAAGUGGGGUGUGAAAGCCGCCAGCUCAACUGGCGGAGGCCAUCCCAAACUGCCUCACUUGAGGCCUGUAGAGGUGUGUGGAAUUGCCGGUGUAGUGGUGAAAUGCGUAGAGAUCGGCAGGAACACCCAGGGGGAAACCAGCAUACUGGACAGGACCUGACACUCAGGUGCGACAGCGUGGGGAGCGAACCGGAUUAGAUACCCCCGUAGUCC